CUUCACAAUAUGCUAGGUAUUUGUGUUUUCCUCCGAGUAGCGACGGAAUUCCCAUAGAGAAAGUGUAAUAUGUUCAUAGAUUUUGUUCUCUAGGUGUUUGACAAAAAAUUUCAAUCAGUUUUUCUAUUAGAUUUCAUAUUCAUGUUCUGGUUUCAUUCUUUGGUUGCCAUUUGAGUAAAGUCUUUUUGGUUUCUUCCGCAUACCCUUAGUUAGACUGUUGAUUUGUAUCACCAUUAGACACGGUUAGAAGGGUAGUUAUUUAAAUUGUUCUAUUGCGAAAACAAACUUCAUACUAAUGUGAAGAAGAAGACCUUGAAUGAAUAGCCAGUGGUCAGUAAUUUUUCUUUAUUGAAUGAAUACCUUGACACAUGAACUCUGUGCUACCAAAUUGUUAGCCAGUUGCUCCUAAAUUUAGCACAUUAAUCUUCACAAAAAUCAUAUAUUCCUCAAAUGGUGUAUUGAUUUCUCAAUCAGUUGUCAAAAAGAUGGGUUGUGCCGUCAAAGAAUAUAAUAUCUGACUGAAACUAUAUAUUUUGGAUUAUUGCUUGGACUUCCACAGUAACUUAACCGUUAAACCAAGUAAUUAGUUCCCUUAUUCCUGAACUAGGGUGAGAGUAUCCUUAUCAGCAAAACAUAUGCUGUGAGGUUUAAGUCAGCAUUUACCUGCUUUCCUGGAAUACAAAAUCCUGAGGGAGCUACUAAAAGUACUCUAUAUAUGUUAUAACAGCAUCUUGUCCCACCAUAUAAUCUUAAUAUCGAUGAACAGAAGAAACUAUUGAAAUGAGAAAUAUGGUUUUAGCUAAAUCGUUUAUUUCAAAAAAGACUUACGAAUUAGUAAAUUAAUUUAAACAUGAAACUGAAAGGUUCAUAAACUGCGAAAAGAGAAUGCUCUUUCAUUCUGGAUUUUUCAGGGAAACGUUGUUGAAAUCUACAAGUUUUGUCCAUAGAAUAGGAGGAAGAAUAUAAUGUUUCGCCGGGUGUGUCGCUACCUGUACUAAAAGCGACUCAGCUACAGAAAAGCGGUCGCUUCUACCAAAAAAGCGAGAAGCGGGAAAAGCGGAAGAAGCGAUCGCUUCUUGAAAUAAACAGCCCAAACGAGUCUUUUUCAAUUAAAAGACCCAAAUCGAGUGAGUCUUCUGUUUUAGUCAUUCUUCAGCAGCAACCUAGGGUUUUAAACCAGCCCUUUCUUCCUCAAAAAACCAACGAUUUCAACAGAGCUGCUGCAAUUCCAAGAGAGAAGGGAGGGGCAUGUCUUCAACCGAAACUGCCAUACAAUGGAUUAGUUCCUGUGCUGCUGCUUUUACUCCGUUGGAUAGAUAGUUCUUGCACAUGCUUGCUCCCUGGUAAUCUAAAUCUCUUUCAUGUCCUCAUUUACAAGGUUUGGCCCCUAUUUCUCUUGUUCAUUCUGAAUUCUAUUUCUUUACCCUUGCCCUUUCCUUCUUUUUGCAACUAAUCGUAAUUACAUUCCAUCUAUAUGUGGUUUAUACAUUAGAAGAGUCCAUAUGUGUGUACACUAUGUGUAAAUCAAACGGCAUAUGCCAAAAAAGAAUCAUCAAACUCCAAUUUGCUUCUGGAUUUGAAGAGUAUUCAAUAUUUUUCUUUUCCGCACUUUAUUAGUGACAAUAAAAAUAGUAGUACAUAGUCAUAAUGGGAAACGAUAGGAAUUGACUGUGACAAAGGGGUUAAACUAUUGUGCUAAUAGCUCGAUUCAGGAAUCAUAUUUGCACAGAUGUUACAUCAACUACUUGGUAGUUUCGUGAUACUUUGCUGAAAGAGGUCUCACAAUUUUGAAUGACUUUCGUGAAAGCUACCUUUUUUUAUUUUUGUUUUUGCUGUUUGCUAUUUUAAAUCUGGUUAUUUUGUAGGAAUAGGUUUUCAAAUGAAUAGGAUGUUUACUGUCUGAUAAGUUAACCAAAUUUUUCUACAAUUAUAUAUACCAAUGGUACAAGUAGUUGAUCAUUUUAGCUCCUUUAUAGCAGUUAACAAACUAUGUUAUUGUGCCAUAUAUUCUUGAAAUGCAGAACAGCCAAUAUAGAUGUAAAAGGCAGUGAACAAAAAAUUGAAAGGAGUAUAACUUGGUUAUGAGAAUGGACGUUGUGCGCAUAACUAUUUGAGUACAAUAAUGUAUAUUUGUAAACUUUACGCGUUACAUAAAAAUAUUACACAAGUGUAGGAAACUGAACACUUUGAAUGUGUAUUUAGUUACGCUUAGUUUUUUGUCUCUCAUUCCGUAAGGCAGCAGUGAAUAUUUGCAACAAAAUUUAACACUUAUUAGCCAACACUGGCUCAUUUAAUUUAAUGUAAUUUGUGGUGCGUUGUUAAUUUGGAUUGUAUAGAUGAUGCUUGUUGGUUAGAAAGACUAAAUUAACUUUUAUUUUUCCCCUCUUUGGUUUUUUAAGUCGUGAAAUAUGAAAGAAAACACAGGAGAUUCAUGUGCAGCCAGUAAGUUCUUCCAGCACUGUGAAGUAGAGGUUAUUAACUCUCCCUUAAUAGCGUCAAUAGGACUUUUAUUAGGACACGACACGUCUGUCCAACUGUAAGUAUGAGUUUUCAGUUUACAACUUUUAUUUUUCUAUUUCUUUACAAGUCAUUUUGAGCUCUUAUCUGUUCAAAUUCAGAUCUAUAUGACCAAUUGCAUCUUAACAUUACUAAAAAUAUCUUUUCAGUUCUCUCUGAAGUCUUUGUCCUAACUAUAAGAUUUACCCUCUUUUCUAAGUGAUGUUACUACAUUACAUUUCUUUUGAAGUCAUUAGUUAUAUUGGUAUGACUUAUUCAUAAUACUGGAUUUACUAUUUGUUGUUUUUGACUUGAGACUUGAAUGCUACUAUACAUAACGACAAGCUUCCUAUUUCUUCAGUUCUAAAGUGUUCAAUGACAACAUAGCAUAUUUGUCGACGUAAGUUUACGACUUUGAUUUAGUACAUCUAAUUUCUUUCUAGCUAAGAGAAGUAUCUAUAUUCUGAAAGAGAAAAAAAGAAGAAAAUAAAGUAUCUGUACAAUUCUUUCCUUUGCUCCAAUCGAGUUCAAUGUUGCAUACUCUGCACUACAAAUCAGAGACUUCAUUUAGCUUUUCCAGGAGUUUAUGCUUUGACAGCAAGCUCAAUCCCCUCAAUUCAGGGAUGAUAUGUGCUUGCAAAAAAAAAAAGACAUGAGAGUUAUCUAUUUACAUAUAAACUAUCUACAUAUUGACAUGAUAUGUGAUGCAAGGCACCUUUAGUUACUAUAAUUCACCAUAGCUGGCGAUACUUUCUCAUCUCAAAUGCGACUUCUUCAUAGUCAAGGCUAAAACCUUUCACAUAAAUCUUUUUGCCGUUACAAUUUGGUAAAUGUACCUAUGUUUUCUUGAGAAGUAAGAAUCAUACCUACAUUCUCUGUAUUCAUCUCUUUCACUAUUUUGGGAACCUGACUGAGAACGGUUUUCCUUUUCUCAACCUCGCAGGAAUACAAGAUCAGGGUCCUGCCUUUUUGCCGUGAUAAUUUGAAGAGCACCUUAAAAUUUUGCAUCAAGUACAUCGAUUAUAUCACUUUCUAUGAAUGAUGGUAAAUUCAACACAUGCAUUAUGGUCUUGCCACCUUAAUCAGGACAUUUACCAUGAAAACAGUCAUGGUGAUAAAUAUACAUUUACGACAACCUCAAUCUUGCUCUAUACAACAACCUCAAAGGUGAUUGCGGAACAAAGUGAAAAAGUAAUGGAGUUUAUAGACCAGUAGUUCUGAUUAUGAUAUAGGUACUGUAUAGGGUGUCCAAAGUUGCUACAAUCUUCUCCAAAAGCUGGAUAGUAAAAGAUAACACGGAGGACAAAAACAACACACCAAAAUUCCCUGCUUUGUGGGGAAUGCUGUCGAGGCAGCAUGUCUUAGCCAAGAUAAUUGGCAGAGAAGAGGACUUUCUAUUUGCAGCAGAUGUUACCUGUGUGAAAACUGACAAAAAGAAUCUAUCAACCAUUUAAACUUUUUUUGGUGUUGACUUCAUGAUGUCACAGAAUAUCAAAUGAUUUCUUUCAGAUUGGCAAGCACAAAGAACUAAUAAAGCAUUCUUCUAUUGUAAAAUAAAAAUGUAUAUUUCCAAUCCUUCAUUAAAUUACCACAUGUAUGAACUGAUACAUGGCAUUACAUGUGCAUUUACAAUGUCAGAUUGGUUGAAAACA